rnacentral:rRNA from 1 species
UACGGAGGGUGCAAGCGUUAUCCGGAUUUACUGGGUUUAAAGGGUGCGUAGGAGGGCUGGUAAGUCAGUGGUGAAAUCUUCGAGCUUAACUCGGAAACCGCCGUUGAUACUAUCUGUCUUGAAUACCGUGGAGGUGAGCGGAAUAUGUCAUGUAGCGGUGAAAUGCUUAGAUAUGACAUAGAACACCAAUUGCGAAGGCAGCUCGCUACACGAAUAUUGACUCUGAGGCACGAAAGCGUGGGGAUCAAACAGG